AACGAACGCUGGCGGCAUGCCUAACACAUGCAAGUCGAACGAUACCUUCGGGUCUAGUGGCGCACGGGUGCGUAACGCGUGGGAAUCUGCCCUUAGGUUCGGGAUAACUCCUCGAAAGGGGUGCUAAUACCGGAUAAUGUCUUCGGACCAAAGAUUUAUCGCCUUUGGAUGGGCCCGCGUUGGAUUAGCUAGUUGGUAGGGUAAAAGCCUACCAAGGCGACGAUCCUUAGCUGGUCUGAGAGGAUGAUCAGCCACACUGGGACUGAGACACGGCCCAGACUCCUACGGGAGGCAGCAGUGGGGAAUAUUGGACAAUGGGCGAAAGCCUGACCCAGCAAUGCCGCGUGAGUGAUGAAGGCCUUAGGGUUGUAAAGCUCUUUUACCCGGGAUGAUAAUGACAGUACCGGGAGAAUAAGCGCCGGCUAACUCCGUG
rnacentral:rRNA from 1 species